rnacentral:rRNA from 1 species
UACGUAGGGGGCAAGCGUUGUCCGGAAUCAUUGGGCGUAAAGAGCGUGUAGGCGGCCCGAUAAGUCCGCUGUGAAAGUCCAGGGCUCAACCCUGGGAUGCCGGUGGAUACUGUCGGGCUCGAGUCCGGAAGAGGAGUGUGGAAUUCCUGGUGUAGCGGUGAAAUGCGCAGACAUCAGGAGGAACACCAAUGGCGAAGGCAGCUCGCUGGGACGGUACUGACGCUGAGGCGCGAAAGCGUGGGGAGCAAACAGG